rnacentral:rRNA from 1 species
GAUGAACGCUGGCGGCGUGCUUAACACAUGCAAGUCGAGCGGAGAUUUUUGAAAGCUUGCUUUUAAAAUCUUAGCGGCGGACGGGUGAGUAACGUGUGGGCAACCUGCCUCAUACAGUGGAAUAAUCAUUGGAAACGGUGACUAAUACCGCAUGUCACCACGGGAGGGCAUCCUCCUGUGAGAAAAGGAGCAAUCCGGUAUGAGAUGGGCCCGCAUCUGAUUAGCUAGUUGGUGAGAUAACAGCCCACCAAGGCGACGAUCAGUAGCCGACCUGAGAGGGUGAUCGGCCACAUUGGGACUGAGACACGGGCCCAAACUUCCUACGGGAGGCAGCAGUGGGGAAUAUUGCACAAUGGGGGGAAACCCUGAUGCAGCAACGCCGCGUGAAGGAAGACGGUUUUCGGAUUGUAAACUUCUAUCAAUAGGGACAAAAAGAUGACGGUACCUAAAUAGAAGCCCCGGNUAACUACGUG